rnacentral:rRNA from 1 species
CCUACGGGAGGCAGCAGUGGGGAAUAUUGCACAAUGGGGGAAACCCUGAUCCAGCGACGCCGCGUGAGUGAAGAAGUAAUUCUUUAUGUAACGCUCUAUCAGCAGGGAAGUAAAUGACGGUACCUGAGUAAGAAGCUCCGUCUAAAUACGUGCCAGCAGCCGCGGUACUACGGAGGGGGCAAGCGUUAUCCGUAUUUACGGGGUGUAAGGGGAGCGUAGACGGAAGUGCAAGUCGGGAGUGAAAGUCGGGGGCUCAACCCCCGGACUGCCCUGGAAACUGUACGGCUGGAGUGCAGGAGAGGUAAGUGGAAUUCCUAGGGUAGCGGUGAAAUGCGUAGAUAUUAGGAGGAACACCAGUGGCGAAGGCGGCUUACUGGACUGGAACUGACGUUGAGGCUCGAAAGCGUGGGGAGCAAACAGGAUUAGAUACCCCUGUAGUC